rnacentral:rRNA from 1 species
UACGAAGGGGACUAGCGUUGUUCGGAAUUACUGGGCGUAAAGGGUGCGUAGGCGGUUCGUUAAGUCUGUCGUGAAAUCCCCGGGCUCAACCUGGGAAUGGCGAUGGAUACUGGCGAGCUAGAGUGUGUCAGAGGAUGGUGGAAUUCCCGGUGUAGCGGUGAAAUGCGUAGAGAUCGGGAGGAACAUCAGUGGCGGAGGCGGCCAUCUGGGACAACACUGACGCUGAAGCACGAAAGCGUGGGGAGCAAACAGG